rnacentral:lncRNA from 1 species
UUGUUAACCAGAAAAUUAAUUUCAAAUGAUAAUUGGUGAUGAAAACAAUUCAAUACUCAUGUCUUUAACACAUGAGAAGACACUAGGACUGGUUUUUAUCCAUCAAACUAUACAUAAAAUGCGACACUAACAUUUACAAGCCAAAUUAGAUACACAAUAUUAUGUUACAAUAAGGUCAUGGCAUCAUUAAACACAUGAAAGAUAACCAGAAUCAACAUUAUUUUUGAAAAAUUUGCAUAGUAGGAAAUGCAAAAAUAAAAAUAAAAACGAAGGAUCUUCUGACUUUGCCUGAUGCUGAUGCUACUGCUGCUCGGACUGUUGAGAUUGUUCUU